CCAAGUUUUUAAGGGCGCACGGUGGAUGCCUUGGCACCAGGAACCGAUGAAGGACGUGGGAGGCCACGAUAGUCCCCGGGGAGUCGUCAACCAGGCUUUGAUCCGGGGGUUUCCGAAUGGGGAAACCCGGCAGUCGUCAUGGGCUGUCACCCGCUGCUGAACACAUAGGCAGUGUGGAGGGAACGCGGGGAAGUGAAACAUCUCAGUACCCGCAGGAAGAGAAAACAACCGUGAUUCCGGGAGUAGUGGCGAGCGAAACUGGAUGAGGCCAAACCGUAUGCGUGUGAGACCCGGCAGGGGUUGCGCAUGCGGGGUUGUGGGAUCUCUCUUCUGUCGUCUGCCGGCGACAGGACGAGUCAGAAACCGUUGAUGUAGGCGAAGGACAUGCGAAAGGUCCGGCGUAGAGGGUAAGACCCCCGUAGUCGAAACGUCAGCGGCUCGUUUGAGAGACACCCAAGUAGCACGGGGCCCGAGAAAUCCCGUGUGAAUCUGGCGGGACCACCCGCUAAGCCUAAAUAUUCCCUGGUGACCGAUAGCGGAUAGUACCGUGAGGGAAUGGUGAAAAGUACCCCGGGAGGGGAGUGAAAUAGUACCUGAAACCGUGUGCCUACAAGCCGUGGGAGCGUCGGAGUGGAGCUUGCUUCACUCUCGUGACUGCGUGCCUUUUGAAGAAUGAGCCUGCGAGUUUGCGGUGUGUUGCGAGGUUAACCCGUGUGGGGAAGCCGUAGCGAAAGCGAGUCCGAAUAGGGCGUUUUUAGUAGCACGCUCAAGACCCGAAGCGGAGUGAUCUAGCCAUGGGCAGGUUGAAGCGGAGGUAAGACUUCGUGGAGGACCGAACCCACCAGGGUUGAAAACCUGGGGGAUGACCCAAACUCCGAAUGCCGGUAAGUGAGAGCGCGGCAGUGAGACUGUGGGGGAUAAGCUCCAUGGUCGAGAGGGAAACAGCCCAGAGCAUCGACUAAGGCCCCUAAGCGUACGCUAAGUGGGAAAGGAUGUGGAGUCGCAGAGACAACCAGGAGGUUGGCUUAGAAGCAGCCACCCUUGAAAGAGUGCGUAAUAGCUCACUGGUCUAGUGAUUCCGCGCCGACAAUGUAGCGGGGCUCAAGCGUACCGCCGAAGUCGUGUCAUUGCAGCAGAUAGCCCCAACGGGUGCUGUGAUGGGUAGGGGAGCGUCGUCUGCCGGGUGAAGCGGCACUGGAAGGUAGUCGUGGACGGUUGACGAGUGAGAAUGCAGGCAUGAGUAGCGAUACAAACGUGAGAAACGUUUGCGCCGAUUGACUAAGGGUUCCUGGGUCAAGCUGAUCUGCCCAGGGUAAGUCGGGACCUAAGGCGAGGCCGACAGGCGUAGUCGAUGGAUAACCGGUUGAUAUUCCGGUACCCGCUGUGAAGCGUCAAACAUCGAAUCCAGUGAUGCUAAGGCCGUGAAGCCGCCCCGGAGCCUUCGGGCAAAGGGGAGUGGUGGAGCCGCUGACCCAAGUUGGUAGUAGGUGAGUGAUGGGGUGACGCAGGAAGGUAGUCCAUCCCGGGCGGUGGUUGUCCCGGGGUAAGGGUGUAGGACGUCGGGUAGGUAAAUCCGCCUGGCAAUAGUCUGAGACCUGAUGCCGAGCCGAUUGUGGUGAAGUGGAUGAUCCUAUGCUGUCGAGAAAAGCCUCUAGCGAGUUUCAUGGCGGCCCGUACCCUAAAGCUUUGCGCUCUGAGCUGGGGGUGGCCGCAGAGACCAGCGAGAAGCGACUGUUUACUAAAAACACAGGUCCGUGCGAAGCCGUAAGGCGAUGUAUACGGACUGACGCCUGCCCGGUGCUGGAACGUUAAGGGGACCGGUUAGCUCACUUUCGGGUGGGCGAAGCUGAGAACUUAAGCGCCAGUAAACGGCGGUGGUAACUAUAACCAUCCUAAGGUAGCGAAAUUCCUUGUCGGGUAAGUUCCGACCUGCACGAAUGGCGUAACGACUUCUCGACUGUCUCAACCAUAGGCCCGGUGAAAUUGCACUACGAGUAAAGAUGCUCGUUUCGCGCAGCAGGACGGAAAGACCCCGGGACCUUUACUACAGUUUGAUAUUGGUGUUCGGUUCGGCUUGUGUAGGAUAGCUGGGAGACUUUGAAGCAGGCACGCCAGUGUUUGUGGAGUCGUCGUUGAAAUACCAGUCUGGUCGUGCUGGAUGUCUAACCUGGGUCCGUGAUCCGGAUCAGGGACAGUGUCUGAUGGGUAGUUUAACUGGGGCGGUUGCCUCCUAAAGGGUAACGGAGGCGCCCAAAGGUUCCCUCAGCCUGGUUGGCAAUCAGGUGUUGAGUGUAAGUGCACAAGGGAGCUUGACUGUGAGACCGACGGGUCGAGCAGGGACGAAAGUCGGGACUAGUGAUCCGGCGGUGGCUUGUGGAAGCGCCGUCGCUCAACGGAUAAAAGGUACCCCGGGGAUAACAGGCUGAUCUUCCCCAAGAGUCCAUAUCGACGGGAUGGUUUGGCACCUCGAUGUCGGCUCGUCGCAUCCUGGGGCUGGAGUCGGUCCCAAGGGUUGGGCUGUUCGCCCAUUAAAGCGGUACGCGAGCUGGGUUUAGAACGUCGUGAGACAGUUCGGUCCCUAUCCGCUGUGCGCGUAGGACGACUGGGUUGAUAGGCCGGAUCUGGAAGCACAGUAAUGUGUGGAGGUGACCGGUACUAAUAGGCCGAGGGCUUGUCC
rnacentral:rRNA from 1 species